GACGUAGGGCGCGAGCGUUGUCCGGAUUUAUUGGGCGUAAAGAGCUCGUAGGCGGCUCGUUGCGUCGGCUGUGAAAACCCGCAGCUCAACUGUGGGCUUGCAGCCGAUACGGGCGGGCUGGAGUUCGGUAGGGGAGACUGGAAUUCCUGGUGUAGCGGUGAAAUGCGCAGAUAUCAGGAGGAACACCGGUGGCGAAGGCGGAUCUCUGGGCCAUUACUGACGCUGAGGAGCGAAAGCGUGGGGAGCGAACAGG
rnacentral:rRNA from 1 species